rnacentral:tRNA from 1 species
AAGGGAGACCUAAUUCAGGUAGGAGACGAAAAAAAAGUAGUCCCUACCAAGAAUCAAUCCCAAAAGGUCGGAACGAGGUAUGAGGCUUUCAAACUAGGUUCUGGGUUCACACAAGGCCUGAAUCAGGAACAAGGGCUAUUAGCUCAGGUGGUUAGAGCGCACCCCUGAUAAGGGUGAGGUCCCUGGUUCGAGUCCAGGAUGGCCCACCUGCACAGGUGGCAAAAACAAGAGAAGCUCCGAAUCAGCACCUUAUCUUACUUAUAUAGUAAGAGAGAAUGCUGGCUCUGAGUUCAGAGUCCAGAGGAACCUUGAAAACUGCAUAGAGCUAGGUGAAAAAGCCAAAAAAGAAGACCGCAA